rnacentral:rRNA from 1 species
UACGUAGGGUGCGAGCGUUGUCCGGAACUACUGGGCGUAAAGGGCUCGUAGGUGGUUUGUCGCGUCGUCUGUGAAAUUCCGGGGCUUAACUCCGGGCGUGCAGGCGAUACGGGCAUAACUUGAGUACUGUAGGGGUAACUGGAAUUCCUGGUGUAGCGGUGAAAUGCGCACGAUAUCAGGAGGAACACCGAUGGCGAAGGCAGGUUACUGGGCAGUUACUGACGCUGAGGAGCGAAAGCAUGGGUAGCAAACAGGAUUAGA